UGCUUCUGCCUUUAUAAAUUAUUCAAUGUUAAAGAUCUUGCAUUAUGGGUGAGUGUGCAUGGGCAGGGAUGGGGGCAGGCAAAGUCUGGUCCUCGAUAUCAUUUUCCCAUUUAGGUGCCUUUGAAGACAUCCUUUGCUUUAUCCGAUCCUCAGUGAUCUCCAUCCACAAUGGCUAUGACAUUCCCUGUCUCAUCUGGACCUCAGCUGUUGAUCUACGCAUGUUGCCAUGGAGAUAAGCCUUCUUCCGGCUUUUGACUCCAAAAGCCUAGAAGCAACUCCCAGUUUUGCUUUCUGUGGCCCCACCUCUGCUCUGAAACAAUUUGAUGAAACAGCCUUGCUGACUGAACAGCGGGAAUCUGGGUUUGGAUGUUGAAAGGAGGAAGAAAAUCAGAGGAUGAAAAAGAAUCACUAAGCUGUACACCUGAGAUUAAUACAACACUGUAAAUCAACUGUUCUUCAAUUGAAAAAAGAAAACCAGAGGAAAACGAAAGAAAAUAGAGGUUUGUAUCACCAUGGAUCCAAUAUCUGCUCUCCUGUGUCCAUCC